UACGUAGGUGGCAAGCGUUGUCCGGAAUUACUGGGUGUAAAGGGCGUGUAGGCGGGAAUGCAAGUCAGAUGUGAAAUUCCGGGGCUCAACCCCGGCGCUGCAUCUGAAACUGUAUUUCUUGAGUGCUGGAGAGGAAAGCGGAAUUCCUAGUGUAGCGGUGAAAUGCGUAGAUAUCAGGAAGAACACCCGUGGCGAAGGCGGCUCUCUGGAACGCAACUGACGCUGAGACGCGAAAGCGUGGGGAGCAAACAGG
rnacentral:rRNA from 1 species